UACGGAGGGUGCGAGCGUUAUCCGGAAUUACUGGGUUUAAAGGGUGCGUAGGCGGCCCUGUAAGUCAGGAGUGAAAGUUUGCGGCUCAACCGUAAAAUUGCUUUUGAUACUGCGGGGCUAGAAUUAGGAUGAGGUUAGCGGAAUGUGGCAUGUAGCGGUGAAAUGCAUAGAUAUGCCAUAGAACACCAAUUGCGAAGGCAGCUGGCUAGACCUGGAUUGACGCUGAGGCACGAAAGCGUGGGGAGCGAACAGG
rnacentral:rRNA from 1 species